CAUACAGAUGACAGAGCAGCAUGUGAAAAGAUGCCCGUCAUCCUUACUCAUCUGACAAAGCACACAGUAUCAAGAAAUGAAUUGCAAAUGACUUCACAAAAUGACCAGAAGGAUGUGUAUGUGUCACCAUGGCUCAUUGGGUCUAUCUGCUGCAGAAAGUUUCUCGAGUGUCAAAUAAGGCUCAUAAGAAACAUACUUAUAAGAAGAUCCAGGCCUACCUCGCUUCUCUUCAGAUUCCCGUGGAGUCUGGCUGGGUGUAUGCAUGUGCUGAGGUUUGUGUAUGGUUACAGAUGGAGCCCCUGUCACCAGUUUCUGUCACCGGCAACCAAGAGAAUCCUGAUUGACACAAAUUCUACUUUCAUCCCCUUUUUUUGCCGAGAUGUUUUCUUCACUCUCCAAAUCCUCACUCUCCUUUAGGGCAUGUGAUUUUCCAAAUAAAAAGCAAAUAUGCUCCUCA